rfam:Streptomyces pratensis ATCC 33331, complete genome.
UCCGGGCGGACGCCGAGUCCUGCCGCCGUCCGGAUGCCUGGUCGACAGGAGUGGAUCGGCAGGAGUGGAGGACCCGAGCACAACGGGCCGGCCGGAGUUCCGGACGGCCCUCGGGGUGAAGCCGCUGCACGCGGCCGGGCAACUUCGCCAGCCCGAACCCGACAGGUCAUCCUUCACAGGCGGCUGACGAAGGGUUG